GUGUUGAGGAGCUCGGGGAUUGGAUUGGGAGCCUCCAAUUGAGUUGUGGGGCUAGCCCCGGUCAAGUUUGUAAGGGUUUGGACUUCGCCCCCAAGGAAACCAGUAGUGGAGCUCACCUCGCCUUUUUGGUGUUGUGAGAGGAGAAUAGAGUGAGCCUUUGUGGCGCCUCUACCUUUGUGGUAGAGAACUCCUCCAAACGGAGAAGUACACCUACCCCAAUCGGUGGAACUCCGGUGAAAUCUUCGUCUCUCGUGUGGUAUCGCUUUUCACCCUUUACAUUCUUGCAAUCUUAAUUGUGAUAUUGUUGCUUCGGCUAUUGCACUUCAUACUAGAGUUGAAUUCACUUUAGAGAAUUUAGUAAGCCCUAGGAUUAAGUGUUAAUUUGUAUCUUUUAAGAAAAAAAAAAGAGAACAUAAAAUUUGUUAGCCGCCUAUUCACCCCCCUCUAGUCGACCAUACCGAUCUUUCAAUUGGUAUCAGAGCCUCGUCUCUUAAUUAGGGCUUUAUCGCUCUUAAGAGUAUGGUUGACGAACAUAGGAACCCCUCACCCGUAGGA
rnacentral:lncRNA from 1 species